AUAUGUGGAUUAUGUAUACUUUCCUUCUUCAUUAUUUUAAGUGUCUAUUGUUAAAUUUUAUCAGAUUAUGUGCACUUAUGCACCUGCUAUGGUGUAAGUAUCAACCUGUGCAUGCUACCAGAUAUUAAAUGAUCCAGUAUACUUUUUUUUAGUGUCCAAUUUACUUGUUCUUUAAUCACUUACGAUUAGUACUAAAAGAUUGAAUCAUUAUGGAAAGUAUAAGAAGCUUUUUUCCCAUCUGAUUGUGUAGUCUUGUGAUCCUUCAUCUAUCUCUUCAUUUAAGAUAGAGACCAUUUUCAAUUUGGUAUUGGUCGUCCAAACAUAGGGGGUCUUAUUUUCCCUUUUAUUCCUGCUAAAAUUGCAUACCAUAUGGUAUUUAAUUUUAUUUUUGGAUCAUUAUUUCAAGAAUCUUUUCUAUAAUUCGAAUGUUGUUUUCAAUUUUCUUCAUAUUUAUUCACAAAAGAAAAUCACAGAAUUUCCGAUUAAAUAUCUAUGGUCACUUCUCUAGGCAUAAAGACACGAGUGUAAGACCUCAUGCUAAAUCUAUCUAGUGAUCUACAUAUAAUCCUUUUGUAUAUUCUUUUUUAACCAGUGUACCAAACCUAUUGACAUGCACUAAAUCAGAUUGGUGGCCAUGUCAUGGGUCUAUGGUUCAACUGUAGGAUAACUGCGAGUCAGAGAAAGAUUAUAAAUAUCUCAUCCCUCCAUUUCUCCUUCAAUAUUUGUUUCAUUAUCACCCAUCUUCCAAAAUGCUUAUCCCUGCUCCUUUUUAUCCAACUCUCUUCGAUCGAAGGUUUGUUGUGCCGGAACUAGGCUCGUACCAGUUGUCCGGCAGCAUAGGUCGGUAUGCCCUUGUACCAUUCCAUCCGGGCCUGUACCGAUAUAGUAGAGGAGGCAGGGGAGAGGGAGAACGGGAGAGAGAGGAAAAGAGAGAGAAGGGGGGAGAGGGAGGGAGAGAGGAGGGUGGUGGAGGCCGGUGAUCCGUGCAAAGGAGGCGGAGGAGAGGCUCCACCUUGAGUCUCAUGUUUCGUUCGAAACAAGGGUUCCAAAGGGGGCCUAUUUUUAAUUUAGAGAUUUUUAAGUGAAGUCGGCAAAUAAAAAAGGAGCCCCCUCUGAGACCCCUGUUUCGAACAAAACAUGGGACUCGAGGUGUAGCCUCUCCUCCGAUUCCUAUGCGCGGUUCGCCGGCCUCUGCGCGGCUCGCCGGCCCUCCGUCGGCCAGCCUCCACCUUUCUCUCUCUUC
rnacentral:lncRNA from 1 species